GCCUUUCGAAAGAAAGAUUAAUACCCGAUGGCAUAGUUCUUCCGCAUGGUGAACUAUUAAAGAAUUUCGGUCAUCGAUGGGGAUGCGUUCCAUUAGGUUGUUGGCGGGGUAACGGCCCACCAAGCCUUCGAUGGAUAGGGGUUCUGAGAGGAAGGUCCCCCACAUUGGAACUGAGACACGGCCAAACUCCUACGGGAGGCAGCAUG
rnacentral:rRNA from 1 species